AUGACUAUCAUCGAAGGCCAGGUCGCUACGGCGACAAUGACGAUGGAGCAGAUGCAGUCCACCCUUGGUGAUCUCAUUAUUGGCCUCACCAAGACCUCAGAAACGCUUAACAAGACAGCUGAUACGGUAACCCAAACGGCGACGAGCUGUCAAGCGCUGCAAAUCACCACCGAGCGGCUUCUCAAGGCUAAUGAAAAUGUCUCCAACAAGGUGGCCGUCUUGGAGACUCAAGUCGAGGGUUUCAGUGUGCGUCUUACCUCAUUGGAAGGCACUAUAGCUACUGCUACACGAACUCCUGGCCCAGGUGGGCGCCGUGAAGAAUUUGCAAACCAGGACAAUGCUCAAGGGCAUGUCCUGGGCAAUGGUGCGUUUCGCCUCUCUCAAAACCAGCAUGAAUCUGGUCCAUCUCAUCUCCGUACUGCACUACAUGAGGAUAAUUUGGGUUUUAGGCAUGAUAGGAAUACUAGAGAUCAGUCUCGUGAUUUUCAUAUGCCCAAAACUUCAUUCCCUAAGUUUGAUGGUACAGACCCAAAGAUAUGGAAAGAUAAGGCUAAAAAGUAUUUCCAUAUGUUUCAUGUCCCUGAAGACUAUAAAGUGGACUAUGCAACAUUACAUUUCAUUAAUACAGCAGCUAUGUGGCUUCAGACCUACGAAGCCAACCAUGACAUCAAUAGUUGGCCUCAAUUGUGUGUUGCUGUGUGUCAGAAAUUUGGUAAGAAUUUGUACUACACCAAUAUGACUAAAACACUAGAAAUUAGACAAACAGGUGAUGUCGAGAGUUACCAUAGGGAAUUUGAGUUACUCAUGCAUCAGUUGCUUACACACAACUCUGCUCUUGAUGAUACCUUUUUUGUAACAAAGUUUCUUAAAGGAUUAAAAAAAGAGAUUAGUUCCGCUCUGGUUUUGCAUAAACCAAGGACAGUUGAUGCGGCUAUUUCUCUAGCCUUAUUGCAGGAAGCUUAG
rnacentral:rRNA from 1 species